rnacentral:rRNA from 1 species
AUGAACGCUGGCGGCGUGCCUAAUACCUGCAAGUCGAGCGAACAGACGAGGAGCUUGCUCCUUUGACGUUAGCGGCGGACGGGUGAGUAACACGUGGAUAACCUACCUAUAAGACUGGGAUAACUUCGGGAAACCGGAGCUAAUACCGGAUAACAUGUUGAACCGCAUGGUUCAACAGUGAAAGACGGUCUUGCUGUCACUUAUAGAUGGAUCCGCGCCGCAUUAGCUAGUUGGUAAGGUAACGGCUUACCAAGGCAACGAUGCGUAGCCGACCUGAGAGGGUGAUCGGCCACACUGGAACUGAGACACGGUCCAGACUCCUACGGGAGGCAGCAGUAGGGAAUCUUCCGCAAUGGGCGAAAGCCUGACGGAGCAACGCCGCGUGAGUGAAGAGGGUCUUCGGAUCGUAAAACUCUGUUAUUAGGGAAGAACAAAUGUGUAAGUAACUAUGCACGUCUUGACGGUACCUAAUCAGAAAGCCACGGCUAACUACGUG